AAAUGACGUGAAAUCGUACUUCCGGGCAGUUGUCAGUAUGGCAUUAUCAAUAAUGUGCUAGCUAGACUCGCUACAUUCAAAACCACAUGGAGCUUACUACAAAAAGCGAGAGAGCGGUGGAUAACAACUGGGUUUAGAAAAUGUGUUCUAGAUAGAACUCGAGUUAUUACAGCGGUUGUUCAAUCGUCAAUACGAGACAUUUUCCAACAAAGUACAGAUAUAAAAGGGCAAACAACACAGCUGGAUAAAGCAUCCUAAGUCUGCACCUCGUAAAGCUAUGACAAUGAGAGAAAUCUAUCCACCCAGGCAAUCAGAAUAUAGAGUGCAGCCCGGAAGUUGCGCUGCAGCUCAGAGAACCAUGGUUAUUGGCAUCAAGUUCUCCAUCAGCUUUACCUCACAGGCACCACUUGUGAUUUCAUAGUUUGAACACCAAUGAACAUGGAAGUGAUUCUCAUUCUUCAAGAUGAAUUAUGGGAAUUAUACUUGGCAUACAUGAUUAAGCCUUUGUGCCCUCUCUGCAAUAACCAACUAGACAGACUUGUGAAAAUUCAAAUGUCUUCCAUUAGUUUUAUUUUGUUUUUGCUACAAAUGAUCAGUGUGAAGAUGUGCAUGAAUCACCAUUGUAACAAUUUCUUUGACUAGCAACCUCAAAUAAAUGUUCACUUUAUCAUUUACUUGAAUGCAUUUAAUAAAACUUGACAAUGCAGAAUAAUGUGAGUAAGAAAUUGUACAUUUAUAGUAUCGAAGUCCAAAGGUAAGAUUAAUAUAUUGUGGAAUUCAUAUCAGCUAUUUCCUUUAGCAGGGCUUGAAGCUAACUUUUUAUGUCACCAGUCCAGCUGGAAUGAUGGGGUAUAAUUUCAACCAGUCCGCAGAAGAAUUUACCAGUCCAACAGAGUUUUCCAGAAAUAAUUAAACAUAUUUCGUUAAUGUUAUCAAAAUGAAAUUUAACUCAAUAUGCCUCAGACAAUAUUGUAACACUUAAAUAUGGGAUUUAUAUUUACGAAUCAGAUUCGUCUGAUAUCUUCAGAUCGAAGCAUGCCAAAUGUGUGUAUAAAAUUUCAAAAGAAUAUUUUCCAAAAUGAUGCUUUAAAAAAUUAACCAGUCCCAUCGGACUGACAAAAACAAAUGUCAAUCAGUCCGCCAGACUUUUAACCAGUCACAGACUGACGGGCAUAUGUUAAUUUCGAGUCCUGUUUAGUAGAGGGUUUGCAAAUGUACAAGUGUCACACAGAGUUGAAAAUCUUAGUGGACAGAUGUACAUGUCUGUAUUGUGAAGGUAUAUGAUUUAGAAUAUGGAUGUUUUUAAUUAUUCAAUUGCAACUCUAAAUGAAUUUGACUCUUCCUGGUCUUGUAACAGCUGUGCUUCAUCCUUACUGAAAUGAGAUUUUGAUGAAAGAAAAGGUGUUAUGUUCAAUGUCAUUCCGAUUAAAGUUUAUCAAAUAUAUCAAAUCCUUCAUUAGCAAGAAUCAUAUAUUAUCUGGCUUCAACAUAUCCAAUACACAUCAGUGAUCAACAAUGUCACCAUCAGAGGUGGAUCCAGGAUAGAAUUCAGAACAAUUGUGCUACACAAGUGAUAGCCUUUGCUGUGUGACAAAUUUUGCACAAUGUAGUUGCUGUCAGAUAAUGACUAGUUAUUCAUUUUUAAAGUUAAAUCCAGUGUUAUGUUUGUUGUAUCCAUUGCGAUUUUUUCAGAGGUAAAUUCGGCAUUAAGCCCUCUGGCCUGCUAAAUGUAGAUCCCUUAGAUUUCGGUGCAACUUCAUAAGAGUCAUGAGAAAUUGAUCACUGGUAUGAACCCUUGUACCGCCCAUCCUAGAAGUUGUUAAAAUGGGCCCUUUCUCUUCAUAACAGCCACCAACACAUUGAUACUUCUGAAGGAAAUGAUGUAUAUAACAGCA